rnacentral:tRNA from 1 species
UGUAGCUCAGAGGUUGAGCACCUGCUUAGUAUGCAGGAAGUCCUGGGUUUGAGACCCAGUA